CCUACGGGAGGCAGCAGUGGGGAAUAUUGCACAAUGGGGGGAACCCUGAUGCAGCGACGCCGCGUGGGUGAGGAAGUACUUCGGUAUGUAAAGCCCUAUCAGCAGGGAAGAAAAUGACGGUACCUGACUAAGAAGCCCCGGCUAACUACGUGCCAGCAGCCGCGGUAAUACGGAGGGGGCAAGCGUUAUCCGGAUUUACUGGGGGUAAAGGGAGCGUAGAGGGGGUCGCAAGUUUGGUGUGAAAGCCCGGGGCUCAACCCCGGGACUGCAUUUGAAACUGGCUUGCUGGAGUCCCGGAGGGGCAAGCGGAAUUCCUAGUGUAGCGGUGAAAUGCGUAGAGAUUAGGAGGAACACCAGUGGCGAAGGCGGCUUGCUGGACGGUAACUGACGUUGAGGCUCGAAAGCGUGGGGAGCAAACAGGAUUAGAUACCCGGGUAGUC
rnacentral:rRNA from 1 species